rnacentral:rRNA from 1 species
AUUGAACGCUAGCUACAGGCUUAACACAUGCAAGUCGAGGGACCGGCGCACGGGUGAGUAACCCGUAUCCAACCUGCCCUUUACUCGGGGAUAGCCUUUCGAAAGAAAGAUUAAUACCCGAUAUAAAGGAUGGGGAUGCGUUCCAUUUGGUUGUUGGUGAGGUAACGGCUCACCAAGCCUUCGAUGGAUAGGGGUUCUGAGAGGAAGGUCCCCAAGAUUGGAACUGAGAAAAGGUCCAAAAUCUGACGGGUGGAAGUAGUGGGGAAUAUUGGUAAAUGGGCGCUGGCCUGAACCAGCCAAGUAGCGGUAAGGAUGAAGGCUUAAGGGUCGUAAACUACUGUUAUAUAAGAAUAUGUAUUAAAUGAAUAAGGAUCGGCUAACUACGUGCUAGCAGGCGCAGUAAUUA